UACGUAGGAGGCAAGCGUUGUCCGGAAUUACUGGGUGUAAAGCGCGUGUAGGCGGCAGGCCAAGUCUGUGGUGAAAUCGCUCGGCUCAACUGGGCGGGGUCCAUGGAAACUGGUCAGCUGGAGGACGGUAGAGGUGAGUGGAAUUCCCGGUGUAGUGGUGAAAUGCGUAGAGAUCGGGAGGAACACCCGUGGCGAAGGCGGCUCACUGGGCCGGUCCUGACGCUGAGACGCGAAGGCGUGGGGAGCGAGCGGG
rnacentral:rRNA from 1 species